rnacentral:rRNA from 1 species
GGGUUGUGAGGUUAAGCGACUAAGCGUACACGGUGGAUGCCCUGGCAGUCAGAGGCGAUGAAGGGCGUGCUAAUCUGCGAUAAGCGCCGGUAAGGUGAUAUGAACCGUUAUAACCGGCGAUACCCGAAUGGGGAAACCCAGUGUGAUUCGUCACACUAUCAUUAACUGAAUCCAUAGGUUAAUGAGGCGAACCGGGGGAACUGAAACAUCUAAGUACCCCGAGGAAAAGAAAUCAACCGAGAUUCCCCCAGUAGCGGCGAGCGAACGGGGAGGAGCCCAGAGCCUGAAUCAGCAUGUGUGUUAGUGGAAGCGUCUGGAAAGGCGCGCGAUACAGGGUGACAGCCCCGUACACAAAAGCGCAUGUGCUGUGAGCUCGAUGAGUAGGGCGGGACACGUGGUAUCCUGUCUGAAUAUGGGGGGACCAUCCUCCAAGGCUAAAUACUCCUGACUGACCGAUAGUGAACCAGUACCGUGAGGGAAAGGCGAAAAGAACCCCGGCGAGGGGAGUGAAAAAGAACCUGAAACCGUGUACGUACAAGCAGUGGGAGCACCCUUUGGGGUGUGACUGCGUACCUUUUGUAUAAUGGGUCAGCGACUUAUAUUCUGUAGCAAGGUUAACCGUAUAGGGGAGCCGGAGGGAAACCGAGUCUUAACCGGGCGUUAAGUUGCAGGGUAUAGACCCGAAACCCGGUGAUCUAGCCAUGGGCAGGUUGAAGGUUGGGUAACACUAACUGGAGGACCGAACCGACUAAUGUUGAAAAAUUAGCGGAUGACCUGUGGCUGGGGGUGAAAGGCCAAUCAAACCGGGAGAUAGCUGGUUCUCCCCGAAAGCUAUUUAGGUAGCGCCUCGUGAAUUCAUCUCCGGGGGUAGAGCACUGUUUCGGCUAGGGGGCCAUCCCGGCUUACCAACCCGAUGCAAACUGCGAAUACCGGAGAAUGUUAUCACGGGAGACACACGGCGGGUGCUAACGUCCGUCGUGAAGAGGGAAACAACCCAGACCGCCAGCUAAGGUCCCAAAGUCAUGGUUAAGUGGGAAACGAUGUGGGAAGGCCCAGACAGCCAGGAUGUUGGCUUAGAAGCAGCCAUCAUUUAAAGAAAGCGUAAUAGCUCACUGGUCGAGUCGGCCUGCGCGGAAGAUGUAACGGGGCUAAACCAUGCACCGAAGCUGCGGCAGCGACGCUGAUGCGUUGUUGGGUAGGGGAGCGUUCUGUAAGCCUGCGAAGGUGGCCUGUGAGGGUUGCUGGAGGUAUCAGAAGUGCGAAUGCUGACAUAAGUAACGAUAAAGCGGGUGAAAAGCCCGCUCGCCGGAAGACCAAGGGUUCCUGUCCAACGUUAAUCGGGGCAGGGUGAGUCGACCCCUAAGGCGAGGCCGAAAGGCGUAGUCGAUGGGAAACGGGUUAAUAUUCCCGUACUUGGUGUUACUGCGAAGGGGGGACGGAGAAGGCUAUGUUGGCCGGGCGACGGUUGUCCCGGUUUAAGCGUGUAGGUGUGUGUUCCAGGUAAAUCCGGUUCACUUUAACACUGAGGCGUGAUGACGAGGCACUACGGUGCUGAAGCAACAAAUGCCCUGCUUCCAGGAAAAGCCUCUAAGCAUCAGGUAACAUCAAAUCGUACCCCAAACCGACACAGGUGGUCAGGUAGAGAAUACCAAGGCGCUUGAGAGAACUCGGGUGAAGGAACUAGGCAAAAUGGUGCCGUAACUUCGGGAGAAGGCACGCUGACACGUAGGUGAAGUGAUUUACUCAUGGAGCUGAAGUCAGUCGAAGAUACCAGCUGGCUGCAACUGUUUAUUAAAAACACAGCACUGUGCAAACACGAAAGUGGACGUAUACGGUGUGACGCCUGCCCGGUGCCGGAAGGUUAAUUGAUGGGGUCAGCGCAAGCGAAGCUCCUGAUCGAAGCCCCGGUAAACGGCGGCCGUAACUAUAACGGUCCUAAGGUAGCGAAAUUCCUUGUCGGGUAAGUUCCGACCUGCACGAAUGGCGUAAUGAUGGCCAGGCUGUCUCCACCCGAGACUCAGUGAAAUUGAACUCGCUGUGAAGAUGCAGUGUACCCGCGGCAAGACGGAAAGACCCCGUGAACCUUUACUAUAGCUUGACACUGAACAUUGAGCCUUGAUGUGUAGGAUAGGUGGGAGGCUUUGAAGUGUGGACGCCAGUCUGCAUGGAGCCGACCUUGAAAUACCACCCUUUAAUGUUUGAUGUUCUAACGUGGACCCGUGAUCCGGGUUGCGGACAGUGUCUGGUGGGUAGUUUGACUGGGGCGGUCUCCUCCUAAAGAGUAACGGAGGAGCACGAAGGUUGGCUAAUCCUGGUCGGACAUCAGGAGGUUAGUGCAAUGGCAUAAGCCAGCUUGACUGCGAGCGUGACGGCGCGAGCAGGUGCGAAAGCAGGUCAUAGUGAUCCGGUGGUUCUGAAUGGAAGGGCCAUCGCUCAACGGAUAAAAGGUACUCCGGGGAUAACAGGCUGAUACCGCCCAAGAGUUCAUAUCGACGGCGGUGUUUGGCACCUCGAUGUCGGCUCAUCACAUCCUGGGGCUGAAGUAGGUCCCAAGGGUAUGGCUGUUCGCCAUUUAAAGUGGUACGCGAGCUGGGUUUAGAACGUCGUGAGACAGUUCGGUCCCUAUCUGCCGUGGGCGCUGGAGAACUGAGGGGGGCUGCUCCUAGUACGAGAGGACCGGAGUGGACGCAUCACUGGUGUUCGGGUUGUCAUGCCAAUGGCACUGCCCGGUAGCUAAAUGCGGAAGAGAUAAGUGCUGAAAGCAUCUAAGCACGAAACUUGCCCCGA